GGCAGCAGUGGGGAAUUUUGGACAAUGGGGGCAACCCUGAUCCAGCCAUGCCGCGUGAGUGAAGAAGGCCUUCGGGUUGUAAAGCUCUUUCGGCCGGGAAGAAAUCGCAUCAGCUAAUACCUGGUGUGGAUGACGGUACCGGAAUAAGAAGCACCGGCUAACUACGUGCCAGCAGCCGCGGUAAUACGUAGGGUGCGAGCGUUAAUCGGAAUUACUGGGCGUAAAGCGUGCGCAGGCGGUUGUGUAAGACAGGCGUGAAAUCCCCGGGCUCAACCUGGGAACUGCGCUUGUGACUGCACAGCUAGAGUACGGCAGAGGGGGGUGGAAUUCCACGUGUAGCAGUGAAAUGCGUAGAGAUGUGGAGGAACACCGAUGGCGAAGGCAGCCCCCUGGGCCGAUACUGACGCUCAUGCACGAAAGCGUGGGUUGGUAGUCCACGCCCUAAACGAUGUCAACUAGGUGUUGGGUGGGUAAAACCAUUUAGUACCGUAGCUAACGCGUGAAGUUGACCGCCUGGGGAGUACGGCCGCAAGGUUAAAACUCAAAGGAAUUGACGGGGACCCGCACAAGCGGUGGAUGAUGUGGAUUAAUUCGUAGCAACGCGAAAAACCUUACCUACCCUUGACAUGUCCAGAAGCCCGGAGAGAUUUGGGUGUGCCCGAAAGGGAACUGGAACACAGGUGCUGCAUGGCUGUCGUCAGCUCGUGUCGUGAGAUGUUGGGUUAAGUCCCGCAACGAGCGCAACCCUUGUCGUUAAUUGCCACUAUUUAGUUGGGACUCUUAACGAGACUGCCGGUGACAAACCGGAGGAAGGUGGGGAUGACGUCAAGUCCUCAUGGCCCUUAUGGGUAGGGCUUCACACGUCAUACAAUGGUCGGUACAGAGGGUUGCCAAGCCGCGAGGUGGAGCCAAUCCCAGAAAGCCGAUCGUAGUCCGGAUUGCAGGCUGCAACUCGCCUGCAUGAAGUCGGAAUCGCUAGUAAUCGCGGAUCAGCAUGUCGCGGUGAAUACGUUCCCGGGUCUUGUACACACCGCCCGUCACACCAUGGGAGCGGGUUCCGCCAGAAGUAGGUAGCCUAACCGCAAGGAGGGCGCUUACCACGGCGGGGUUCGUGACUGGGGUGAAGUCGUAACAAGGUAGCCGUAGGGGAACCUGCGGCUGGAUCACCUCC
rnacentral:rRNA from 3 species